rnacentral:rRNA from 1 species
UGCGGACAGUGUCUGGUGGGUAGUUUGACUGGGGCGGUCUCCUCCUAAAGAGUAACGGAGGAGCACGAAGGUUGGCUAAUCCUGGUCGGACAUCAGGAGGUUAGUGCAAUGGCAUAAGCCAGCUUGACUGCGAGCGUGACGGCGCGAGCAGGUGCGAAAGCAGGUCAUAGUGAUCCGGUGGUUCUGAAUGGAAGGGCCAUCGCUCAACGGAUAAAAGGUACUCCGGGGAUAACAGGCUGAUACCGCCCAAGAGUUCAUAUCGACGGCGGUGUUUGGCACCUCGAUGUCGGCUCAUCACAUCCUGGGGCUGAAGUAGGUCCCAAGGGUAUGGCUGUUCGCCAUUUAAAGUGGUACGCGAGCUGGGUUUAGAACGUCGUGAGACAGUUCGGUCCCUAUCUGCCGUGGGCGCUGGAGAACUGAGGGGGGCUGCUCCUAGUACGAGAGGACCGGAGUGGACGCAUCACUGGUGUUCGGGUUGUCAUGCCAAUGGCACUGCCCGGUAGCUAAAUGCGGAAGAGAUAAGUGCUGAAAGCAUCUAAGCACGAAACUUGCCCCGAGAUGAGUUCUCCCUGACUCCUUGAGAGUCCUGAAGGAACGUUGAAGACGACGACGUUGAUAGGCCGGGUGUGUAAGCGCAGCGAUGCGUUGAGCUAACCGGUACUAAUGAACCGUGAG